rnacentral:tRNA from 1 species
GGGACGUAGCUCAGUUGGGAGAGCGCGGGCUUUGCAAGCCUGAGGUCGUGGGUUCGACCCCCAUCGUCUCC